GGACCCACAUGCAAAUCACCUGAGGUGCUCCCAGAAAAGACCCGCAUCACAGGCCAAGGCCAGUGUGUUGGGUCUCCAUCCAGAAGACAGAAAUGCAGAUGCUGUGGUCCCUCCUCUGCCUGCUGGCAGCUCCCCUGGGUGUCCUAUCUCAACUUACACUUCGGGAGUCCGGCCCAGGACUGGUGAAGCCUUCACAAUCCCUCUCUCUCACCUGCGUUGUCUCCGGAGGCUCUGUUACCAGCAGUUACUACUGGAACUGGAUCCGCCAGCGCCCUGGGAGAGGGUUGGAGUGGCUGGGGUACUGGUCAGGUAGCAGCAGCUACAACCCGGCUUUCCAGGGCCGCAUCUCCAUCACUGCUGACACAGCCCAGAACCAGUUCUCCCUGCAGCUGAGCUCCAUGACCACCGAGGACACGGCCGUGUAUUACUGUGCAAGAAGCACAGUGAGGGAAAGUCAGUGUGAGCUCAGUCACAAACCUUGGUGCAGGGACCUGGAGGGGCUGGGCUGCAGGGGCACUCAGGAUCCACAAGAGGGCACACAGGACCUACCAGGGGAACUAGGGCAUCAGGGGGUGCUUAGGGCCCCUUACCACAGGGACCAGCCCAGAAACAGGGGCAGAGCAGGAGUGAGGUCCCCACUGUCAGUAUCUGGAGCUUUCUCUUCCUGGCACUCUGAUCCUAUGGGGACCUCCCUUUCUUUCUUGCUUGCGUUCCCUUUUGUUUCAGUCCCAGUGUGAUGUUUGGACCAUGUA